AUGACUAUUUUUCCAUUUCGUGUUCCCUUAUGCAGGUUCAUAUUAUGGAUAGUACAUCAAUUUUGGAAUUGGUUUAGCAUUGAGUUGUACAUGGAAACAGCUUUGCAGAAUGCGAAUGUGAAGCAAUACAAUUCAUUUGGAGAAAAACUUAAAGGAAGUUGUAAAAUACGGUCAAAAUCUUUGUCAAGGUGCUCAUGGUCAAAAUGUAAAUUUUUCCCAUGUAUUUCCAAUUUGAAUUCGUAA